rnacentral:rRNA from 1 species
UACGUAGGGCGCAAGCGUUGUCCGGAAUUAUUGGGCGUAAAGAGCUCGUAGGCGGUUUGUCGCGUCUGUCGUGAAAGCUUGGGGCUUAACCCCAAGUCUGCGGUGGAUACGGGCAGACUAGAGGCAGGUAGGGGAGAACGGAAUUCCUGGUGUAGCGGUGAAAUGCGCAGAUAUCAGGAGGAACACCGGUGGCGAAGGCGGGUCUCUGGGCCGAUACUGACGCUGAGGAGCGAAAGCGUGGGGAGCAAACAGG